AAAACUUUCAACAACGGAUCUCUUGGUUCUGGCAUCGAUGAAGAACGCAGCAAAAUGCGAUAAGUAAUGUGAAUUGCAGAAUUCAGUGAAUCAUCGAAUCUUUGAACGCACAUUGCGCCCGCCAGUAUUCUGGCGGGCAUGCCUGUUCGAGCGUCAUUUCA
rnacentral:rRNA from 1 species